rnacentral:rRNA from 1 species
CAGUCGCCGCGGGAAUACGAAGGGGGCUAGCGUUGUUCGGAAUUACUGGGCGUAAAGGGCGCGUAGGCGGCCAUUCAAGUUAGAUGUGAAAGCCCUGGGCUCAACCUAGGAAUUGCAUUUGAUACUGUUUGGCUUGAGUUCGGGAGAGGUGAGUGGAAUUCCCAGUGUAGAGGUGAAAUUCGUAGAUAUUGGGAAGAACACCGGUGGCGAAGGCGGCGACCUGGUCCAUUACUGACGCUGAGGCGCGACAGCGUGGGGAGCAAACAGGAUUAGAUACCCCCGUAGUCCCUGUCUCUUAUAA